rnacentral:rRNA from 1 species
AUGAAGUCGGAAUCGCUAGUAAUCGCAGAUCAGCAAAGCUGCGGUGAAUACGUUCCCGGGCCUUGUACACACCGCCCGUCACACCACGGGAGUCGGUCGCGCCUGAAGCCGGUGGCCUAUCAGUAAUGGGGGAGCCGUCUAUGGCGAGAUUGGUAACUGGGGUGAAGUCGUAACAAGGUACC